rnacentral:rRNA from 1 species
ACGGAGGAUCCAAGCGUUAUCCGGAUUUAUUGGGUUUAAAGGGUGCGCAGGCGGAUCAAUAAGUCAGCGGUGAAACAUUUCAGCUUAACUGGAAUCGUGCCGUUGAUACUGUUGAGCUAGAGUAUAAUUGACGUGGGUGGAAUGAGAUGUGUAGCGGUGAAAUGCUUAGAUAUGUCACAGAACGCCAAUUGUGAAGACAUGUCACGAAAUUAUUACUGACGCUCAUGCACGAAAGCGUGGGGAUCAAACAG